AGGUUAUUUAUGUGGUUUACCCUAAUUUAAUUCCCAUUUCCCAACAACAAAACAACUUUAUUUCUUCUGUAUCAUUAUUAGAUAUUUAAAAUUCCAUUUGCAAUGCAUGAUUGUAAUUACAGGCACAAGACCAAGACCUGAUCAAAGUCGUUCACGAAACAACAUCCUGGUAAUAAAAUCCUUUGAUCAUUUUCUAUGGUGGUGUUAUACAUUAGCAUAUGGCCAAUCUUGAUGUAGAUAAUGAACCUGAAUGGAUAAAGAGGGUGAAAUCAGAAGGUGCCAUUCCCCUUCUGGAUCCAGAUAAUUGCUCAAAUGGGUGGGCUUCUCCACCGGGGAAUAGUUUCAUGGUAAGAGGUCCAGAAUACUUUUCAACAAAGGUUAAAAUUCCUGGUGGUGAAUUUCUUCUGAAACCUCUUGGUUUUGACUGGAUAAAAGCUCCUAAAAAGAUUUCUGAUAUUCUGAAUAAUCCAAAACACCGUAUCAGGAGGGCUCUUCAAGAUGAAACUUCUACUGGUUGCAAGCCCUUUGUCUGGGCUUUCAACUUGCAAGUUCCUAGUAAGGAAAACUUCAGUGCUGUUGCAUAUUUUGUGGGUCUUGAACCCGUCCCUGAAGGUUCUUUGAUGGAGCAGUUCUUAAAAGGAGAUGAUGCUUUUAGAACUAAUAGGCUAAAACUGAUCGCGAAUAUUGUUAAAGGACCUUGGAUUGUAAGAAAGGCAGUUGGGGAGCAUGCUAUAUGCGUAAUUGGACGUGCGCUGACUUGCAAGUACUGUAUAACAGACGACUACAUAGAAGUAGAUAUUGAUAUAGGAUCUUCAGUGAUAGCAAAUGCAAUUGUUCAUCUCGCAUAUAAUUAUAUAUCAACCCUUACAGUUGAUUUAGCUUUCCUAAUUGAGAGUCAAACUCAAUCAGAACUUCCAGAACAGAUUUUAGGAGCAGUAAGAUUUUCAGAGCUGCAGACCACUUCAGCAACGCUAGUUGAAAUUCCUUCUGAUGGGAACAUAGAAGAGUUGCUGCCUUCUUUCCCUUCAAGGCUAUGGAAGUCUUUCGGCGACAGUUUCUCUCACCUUGUACAUGCAGAUACUCAAGGUUGUAGCUCCAGCUCCAGUCCCUCAAAUGUAAAGGGGGAUGUUGAUAAUGGGCUUUCUGAAGAAGGUACCAAAAGAUGAGCCAAUGCACUGAAAAUUUCCACGAAUCAUGUCAUAGGAGUUCCUCUUACCAGUAUCGGACCGGAAUCUCCACACUGUAAAUCCAACGUAUUUACGCAAAGGUUCUAUGGCUUCAAGCAUGAGCGAGGAAUCCUAAUAGUGGUCUCUCAUAAUGUCGCUUGUGAUGGCCACAUUAGCCAUUAUUUGUAGCACAAAAAUAUGUAUACAUUUCUGGGGGGAAUUUACUGACAUGGAACUACAGUAGCAUUCUUCGCUUUUAGUUCAUUUCUCUAUGAAAAACACUUCUCCCAGUUGCUCAUUCACUAGUAUAUUUUAUGUUGAUUUAUAUCUACUUAUAUAUCAAUCGCUUGGUAACAAUAGGUUACUAAUUUGAAGGGA